UACGGGGGGGGCAAGCGUUGUUCGGAAUUACUGGGCGUAAAGGGCUCGUAGGCGGCCAACUAAGUCGGAUGUGAAAUCCCCAAGCUUAACUUGGGAACUGCAUCCGAUACUGGAUGGCUUGAAUCCGGGAGAGGGAUGCAGAAUUCCAGGUGUAGCGGUGAAAUGCGUAGAUAUCAGGAAGAACACCCGUGGCGAAGGCGGCUCUCUGGUACGUGACUGACGCUGAGACGCGAAAGCGUGGGGAGCGAACAGG
rnacentral:rRNA from 1 species